CCUGGGGAGUAUGCCCGCAAGGGUGAAACUCAAAGGAAUUGACGGGGGCCCGCACAAGCGGUGGAGCAUGUGGUUUAAUUCGAUGAUACGCGAGGAACCUUACCUGGGUUUGAAAUGGAGAGGAAUGUUGAGGAAACUCAACCGCCGGCAACGGUCUCUUUGUAGGUGCUGCAUGGUUGUCGUCAGCUCGUGCCGUGAGGUGUCGGCUUAAGUGCCAUAACGAGCGCAACCCUUAUCAUUAGUUGCAAACAGGUAAUGCUGUGGACUCUAGUGAGACUGCCUCCGUAAGGAGUGAGGAAGGCGGGGAUGACGUCAAAUCAGCACGGCCCUUACGUCCGGGGCGACACACGUGUUACAAUGGGGAGUACAACGGGCAGCUACCGCGCGAGCGGAUGCUAAUCUCUAAAAACUCUUCUCAGUUCGGAUCGGAGUCUGCAACUCGACUCCGUGAAGCUGGAUUCGCUAGUAAUCGCGCAUCAGCCACGGCGCGGUGAAUACGUUCCCGGGCCUUGUACACACCGCCCGUCAAGCCAUGGGAGCUGGGGGGACCUGAAGUACGUAACCGCAAGGAGCGUCCUAGGGUAAAACCGGUGACUGGGGCUAAGUCGUAACAAGGUAGCCGUA
rnacentral:rRNA from 1 species